AAGCACUCCGCCUGGGGAGGACGGUCGCAAGACUGAAACUCAAAGGAAGUGACGGGGGCCCGCACAAGCGGUGGAGCAUGUGGUUUAAUUCGAAGCACCGCGAAGAACCUUACCAGGUCUUGCCAUCCCGUUGCCCACUGUAGAGAUAUAGUUUCCCCUUCGGGGGCAACGGUGCCAGGUGGUGCAUGGUUGUCGUCAGCUCGUGUCGGGAGAGGUUGGGUUAAGUCCCGCAACGAGCCCCACCCUUGAGAUUAGU
rnacentral:rRNA from 1 species